UGGGGAAUUUUGGACAAUGGGCGAAAGCCUGAUCCAGCAAUGCCGCGUGUGUGAAGAAGGCCUUCGGGUUGUAAAGCACUUUUGUCCGGAAAGAAAUCCUUGGCUCUAAUACAGUCGGGGGAUGACGGUACCGGAAGAAUAAGCACCGGCUAACUACGUGCCAGCAGCCGCGGUAAUACGUAGGGUGCAAGCGUUAAUCGGAAUUACUGGGCGUAAAGCGUGCGCAGGCGGUUUGCUAAGACCGAUGUGAAAUCCCCGGGCUCAACCUGGGAACUGCAUUGGUGACUGGCAGGCUAGAGUAUGGCAGAGGGGGGUAGAAUUCCACGUGUAGCAGUGAAAUGCGUAGAGAUGUGGAGGAAUACCGAUGGCGAAGGCAGCCCCCUGGGCCAAUACUGACGCUCAUGCACGAAAGCGUGGGGAGCAAAACAGGAUUAGAUACCCUGGUAGUCCACGCCCUAAAACGAUGUCAACUAGUUGUUGGGGAUUCAUUUUCCUUAGUAACGUAGCUAACGCGUGAAGUUGACCGCCUGGGGAGUACGGUCGCAAGAUUAAAACUCAAAUGAAUUGACGGGGUCAUAGCUGUUUCCU
rnacentral:rRNA from 1 species